CCUACGGGGGGCUGCAGUGGGGAAUAUUGGACAAUGGGCGCAAGCCUGAUCCAGCAAUGCCGCGUGAGUGAUGAAGGCCUUCGGGUUGUAAAGCUCUUUCACCCGCGACGAUGAUGACGGUAGCGGGAGAAGAAGCCCCGGCUAACUUCGUGCCAGCAGCCGCGGUAAUACGAAGGGGGCGAGCGUUGUUCGGAAUCACUGGGCGUAAAGGGCGCGUAGGCGGCCCUGUUUGUCGCGUGUGAAAGCCCCGGGCUCAACCUGGGAAUGGCGCGCGAGACGGCGGGGCUGGAGUUCGGGAGAGGAGCGUGGAAUUCCCAGUGUAGAGGUGAAAUUCGUAGAUAUUGGGAAGAACACCGGUGGCGAAGGCGGCGCUCUGGACCGAGACUGACGCUGAGGCGCGAAAGCGUGGGGAGCAAACAGGAUUAGAUACCCUUGUAGUC
rnacentral:rRNA from 1 species